ensembl:snRNA U6 U6 spliceosomal RNA
GUGCUGGCUUCAGCAGCACAUAUACUAAAAUCGGAAUGAUACGGAGAUUAGAAUGGCUCCUGCAUUAAGAGGAUAUGCAAAUUCAUGAAGCACUCCAUUAAAAA